AAAUAGAACUUUGCAGAGAGAGUUAACAGGGCGUGAAACCGUUAAUUGGCAAACGAAUCGGAGCCACGAAGUCGUUUCGUCGUUUAGCCGGAUCAGGUUCAGCCGGGCUCGCGAGGGUCCGGUGUAGUCCUGGGUCUGGCCAAACCCUGUAAGCGUACACUGCAACCAGUUAGACGAUCAGCCGUGGGCACAGCGCUGGGUUGGUCAGUAGUAGCGCGGUUGUGCUUCGGCACUUCUCGUGUUGCUGGGCCAGCCUGAGUGAACUACGGCUGAAUACUGACUGGCGAAAUGAAAAUCGCUCGCAUGAGCGUUAGAGACAAGGCACCAGCCGGAUGCGGGCCUACACGGUCGACUGUCAGGUCUAAGCUUGGCGUUUUUGAAUUCAGACUUGCUUGCUACCAGUGGGGCAACCCCUGGUGCUUGUACAGCUUCUGUCUAAUCGGGCGUCGACUUGGCUUGGCAUGGUUCGGGCGUGCUUCGAUAGGGCCUGCAUGCGAGCUGGCUCGCAAUGUGAAUUGGCAGUGAGUAGGUCGGCUUUCCGAACGACCCGUCUUGAAACACGGA
rnacentral:rRNA from 1 species